UGAACGCUGGCGGCGUGCCUACUACAUGCACGUCGAGCGACCAGACGCGGAGCUUGCUCCUCUGACGUUAGCGGCGGACGGGUGAGUAACACGUGGAUAACCUACCUAUAAGACUGGGAUAACUUCGGGAAACCGGAGCUAAUACCGGAUAAUAUAUUGAACCGCAUGGUUCAAUAGUGAAAGACGGUUUUGCUGUCACUUAUAGAUGGAUCCGCGCCGCAUUAGCUAGUUGGUAAGGUAACGGCUUACCAAGGCAACGAUGCGUAGCCGACCUGAGAGGGUGAUCGGCCACACUGGAACUGAGACACGGUCCAGACUCCUACGGGAGGCAGCAGUAGGGAAUCUUCCGCAAUGGGCGAAAGCCUGACGGAGCAACGCCGCGUGAGUGAUGAAGGUCUUCGGAUCGUAAAACUCUGUUAUUAGGGAAGAACAAAUGUGUAAGUAACUAUGCACGUCUUGACGGUACCUAAUCAGAAAGCCACGGCUAACUACGUG
rnacentral:rRNA from 1 species